rnacentral:lncRNA from 1 species
UCUAUCCUAUUGUAUGCUUGAAUGGUUUGAUUGGAGUCUACAAGGUAAUUUUAGGGUUUGAAUUCUGAUAUGCUGAUUUUAAAUGUUAAAACUCUUUUUAUGCAUGUUAAAAAAAUUUAAAAUCUAUAUUCUACUGCAUGAUCGGAACCCAAUAGGUGGUACCCCUUACCACCCUAGCAGAACAUCCAGGCAAAUCCCAUCCUAGGGGUACCAAAAUACCAAGUAGCAUUGCAAUUGGGGAGCACCG